rnacentral:rRNA from 1 species
GACGAACGCUGGCGGCAGGCUUAACACAUGCAAGUCGAGCGAGCGGCGGACGGGUGAGUAAUGUCUGGGAAACUGCCUGAUGGAGGGGGAUAACUACUGGAAACGGUAGCUAAUACCGCAUACCAUCAGAUGUGCCCAGCUGGGAUUAGCUAGUAGGUGGGGUAAUGGCUCACCUAGGCGACGAUCCCUAGCUGGUCUGAGAGGAUGACCAGCCACACCGGAACUCAGACACGGUCCAGACUCCGACGGGAGGCAGCAGUGGGGACUAUUGCACAAUGGGCGCAAUCCUGAUGCAGCAAUGCCGCGUGUGUGAAGAAGGCCUUCGGGUUGUAUAGCACUUUCAGCGAGGAGGCUUUACUCGCAGAUGAAGCACCGGCUAACUCCGUGCCAGCAGCCGCGGUAAUUC